rnacentral:rRNA from 1 species
CCUCCGGGUGGCUGCAGUGGGGAAUAUUGGACAAUGGGCGAAAGCCUGAUCCAGCCAUGCCGCGUGUGUGAAGAAGGCCUUCGGGUUGUAAAGCACUUUCAGUGGGGAAGAAAGCCUUGGGGCUAAUACCCUCGAGGAAGGACAUCACCCACAGAAGAAGCACCGGCUAACUCCGUGCCAGCAGCCGCGGUAAUACGGAGGGUGCGAGCGUUAAUCGGAAUUACUGGGCGUAAAGCGCGCGUAGGCGGUCUGAUAAGCCGGUUGUGAAAGCCCCGGGCUCAACCUGGGAACGGCAUCCGGAACUGUCAGGCUAGAGUGCAGGAGAGGAAGGUAGAAUUCCCGGUGUAGCGGUGAAAUGCGUAGAGAUCGGGAGGAAUACCAGUGGCGAAGGCGGCCUUCUGGACUGACACUGACGCUGAGGUGCGAAAGCGUGGGUAGCAAACAGGAUUAGAUACCCUGGUAGUC